rnacentral:rRNA from 1 species
AGAGUGCGUAAUAGCUCACUGGUCUAGCGUUUUUGCACUGAAAAUGAACGGGACUAAGUUAUUUGCCGAAGCUAUGGGCUUUGUAAAAAGCGGUAGGGGAGCGUUCUGUCGUAAAGAGAAGUAAAAUUGAAAAAUUUUAUGGAUGAAACAGAAGUGAGAAUGUAGGCUUGAGUAACGAAAACAUUGGUGAGAAUCCAAUGCCCCGAAAACCCAAGGGUUCCCUCCGCAAGGUUCGUCCGCGAGGGGUGAGUCAAGACCUAAGGCGAGGCUGAAAAGCGUAGUCGAUGACAAACAGGCGAACAUUCCUGUACUACAGUAUGUUUG